rnacentral:rRNA from 1 species
GAGUUUGAUCGUGGCUCAGGAUGAACGCUGGCGGCGUGCUUAACACAUGCAAGUCGAACGAAGCGCCUUAUUUGAUUUUCUUCGGAACUGAAGAUUUGGUGACUGAGUGGCGGACGGGUGAGUAACGCGUGGGUAACCUGCCCUGUACAGGGGGAUAACAAUCAGAAAUGACUGCUAAUACCGCAUAAGACCACAGCACCGCAUGGUGCAGGGGUAAAAACUCCGGUGGUACAGGAUGGACCCGCGUCUGAUUAGCUGGUUGGUGAGGUAACGGCUCACCAAGGCGACGAUCAGUAGCCGGCUUGAGAGAGUGAACGGCCACAUUGGGACUGAGACACGGCCCAAACUCCUACGGGAGGCAGCAGUGGGGAAUAUUGCACAAUGGGGGAAACCCUGAUGCAGCAACGCCGCGUGAGUGAAGAGUAUUUCGGUAUGUAAAGCUCUAUCAGCAGGGAAGAAAGUGACGGUACCUGACUAAGAGCCCCGGCUAACUACGUGCCAGCAGCAGCCGCC